rnacentral:rRNA from 1 species
ACGGAAGGCAGCAGUGGGGAAUAUUGGGCAAUGGGGGCAACCCUGACCCAGCAACGCCGCGUGAAGGAAGAAGGCUUUCGGGUUGUAAACUUCUUUGACGAGGGACGAAAUAAAUGACGGUACCUCGAAAACAAGCCACGGCUAACUACGUGCCAGCAGCCGCGGUAAUACGUAGGUGGCGAGCGUUGUCCGGAUUUACUGGGUGUAAAGGGCGCGUAGGUGGGUGUGCAAGUCAGAUGUGAAAUACCAGGGCUUAACUCUGGGGCUGCAUUUGAAACUGUGCAUCUUGAGUAUCGGAGGGGCAAGCGGAAUUCCUAGUGUAGCGGUGAAAUGCGUAGAUAUUAGGAGGAACACCAGUGGCGAAGGCGGCUUGCUGGACGACAACUGACACUGAGGCGCGAAAGCGUGGGGAGCAAACAGGAUUAGAUACCCUGGUA